rnacentral:tRNA from 1 species
GGGAUGGUAAGCAAAAUUGGUUAAUGCGACAGGCUGCAACCCUGGACUGUGUCGGUUCGAAUCCGACUCAUCCCU